UACGGAGGGUGCAAGCGUUAUCCGGAUUCACUGGGUUUAAAGGGUGCGUAGGUGGGCAGUUAAGUCAGUGGUGAAAUCUCCGGGCUCAACCCGGAAACUGCCAUUGAUACUAUCUGUCUUGAAUAUCGUGGAGGUAAGCGGAAUAUGUCAUGUAGCGGUGAAAUGCUUAGAUAUGACAUAGAACACCAAUUGCGAAGGCAGCUUACUACCCGAAUAUUGACACUGAGGCACGAAAGCGUGGGGAUCAAGCAGG
rnacentral:rRNA from 1 species